AUAGGACCUCAUGGUAUCACAGUAGGACCGCAUGGUAUCACAGUAGGACCUCAUUGUAUCACAAUAGGACCUCAUGGUAAUAGGACCUCAUGGUAUCACAAUAGGACCUCAUGGUAAUAGGACCUCAUGGUAUCACAAUAGGACCUCAUGGUAUCACAAUAGGACCUCAUGGUAUCAGAAUACGACCUCAUGGUAUCACAGUAGGACCUCAUUGUAAUAGGACCUCAUGGUAUCACAGUAGGACCUCAUGAUAUCACAAUAGGACCUCAUGGUAUCACAGUAGGACCUCAUGAUAUCACAAUAGGACCUCAUGGUAUCACAGUAGGACCUCAUGGUAUCACAGUAGGACCUCAUGGUAAUAGGACCUCAUGGUAUCACAAUAGGACCUCAUGGUAUCACAGUAGGACCUUGUGGUAUCACAGUAGGACCUCAUGGUAUCACAGUAGGACCUCAUGGUAAUAGGACCUCAUGGUAUCACAUGUAUUAUUCCUCUGUAUUUUCACUAUUAUUACAUUACUCAAAUGUUUGUAAUAUACCAUGUGAUAUAUUCUAUAUAUUUGAAGACAAUCUGUAUCUGAUUAUCUUGUAAGCGUGUAUGUAUGUAAACGUUUUGUUUCUGUUUCGUUGUGUGUGCGCUUCAAGCUUUGUGUGUUUUCUGUACCACAGUCAGGGCUGUUUUACUGUUGUGAUGGGAGGGUUGUUGGGUGUAAUGUAAAAGUCUUUCACAUGUGAUUUUAAGCACUUUCCAAAGAGUAAUUUACAUGAUCUCUUACAUUAUCUCUUACAUUAUCUCUUACAUUAUCUCGUACAUUAUCUCUUACAUUAUCUCUUACGUUAUCUCUUACAUGAUCUCUUACAUUAUCUCUCUCAUUAUCUCUAUACUAUGAUCAGGUAUGGGGCCUGACUUCCUGCUCUAUACUAUGAUCAGGUAUGGGGCCUGACUUCCUGCUCUAUACUAUGAUCAGGUAUGGGGCCUGACUUCCUGCUCUAUACUAUGAUCAGGUAUGGGGCCUGACUUCCUGCUCUAUACUAUGAUCAGGUAUGGGGCCUGACUUCCUGCUCUAUACUAUGAUCAGGUAUGGGGCCUGACUUCCUGCUCUAUACUAUGAUCAGGUAUGGGGCCUGACUUCCUGCUCUAUACUAUGAUCAGGUAUGGGGCCUGACUUCCUGCUCUAUACUAUGAUCAGGUAUUGGGCCUGACUUCCUGCUCUAUACUAUGAUCAGGUAUGGGGCCUGACUUCCUGCUCUAUACUAUGAUCAGGUAUGGGGCCUGACUUCCUGCUCUAUACUAUGAUCAGGUAUGGGGCCUGACUUCCUGCUCUAUACUAUGAUCAGGUAUUGGGCCUGACUUCCUGCUCUAUACUAUGAUCAGGUAUGGGGCCUGACUUCCUGCCCUAUACUAUGAUCAGGUAUGGGGCUUGACUUCCUGCUCUAUACUAUGAUCAGGUAUGGGGCCUGACUUCCUGCUCUAUACUAUGAUCAGGUAUGGGGCCUGACUUCCUGCUCUAUACUAUGAUCAGGUAUGGGGCCUGACUUCCUGCUCUAUACUAUGAUCAGGUAUGGGGCCUGACUUCCUGCUCUAUACUAUGAUCAGGUAUGGGGCCUGACUUCCUGCUCUAUACUAUGAUCAGGUAUGGGGCCUGACUUCCUGCUCUAUACUAUGAUCAGGUAUGGGGCCUGACUUCCUGCUCUAUACUAUGAUCAGGUAUGGGGCCUGACUUCCUGCUCUAUACUAUGAUCAGGUAUGGGGCCUGACUUCCUGCUCUAUACUAUGAUCAGGUAUGGGGCCUGACUUCCUGCUCUAUACUAUGAUCAGGUAUGGGGCCUGACUUCCUGCUCUAUACUAUGAUCAGGUAUGGGGCCUGACUUCCUGCUCUAUACUAUGAUCAGGUAUGGGGCCUGACUUCCUGCUCUAUACUAUGAUCAGGUAUGGGGCCUGACUUCCUGCUCUAUACUAUGAUCAGGUAUGGGGCCUGACUUCCUGCUCUAUACUAUGAUCAGGUAUGGGGCCUGACUUCCUGCUCUAUACUAUGAUCAGGUAUGGGGCCUGACCCCC